rnacentral:rRNA from 1 species
UACGUAGGGGGCAAGCGUUGUCCGGAAUUAUUGGGCGUAAAGCGCGUGUAGGCGGCUCGGUAAGUCUGCUGUGAAAGUCCAGGGCUCAACCCUGGAAUGCCGGUGGAUACUGUCGAGCUCGAGUCCGGAAGAGGCGAGUGGAAUUCCUGGUGUAGCGGUGAAAUGCGCAGAUAUCAGGAGGAACACCUAUAGCGAAGGCAGCUUGCUGGGACGUUACUGACGCUAAGGCGCGAAAGCGUGGGGAGCGAACAGG